rnacentral:rRNA from 1 species
GAUGAACGCUAGCGGCAGGCUUAACACAUGCAAGUCGAGGGGUAUAGGUUUUCGGACCUAGAGACCGGCGCACGGGUGCGUAACGCGUAUGCAAUCUACCUUUCACAGAGGGAUAGCCCAGAGAAAUUUGGAUUAAUACCCCAUAGUAUAGCAGUUUCGCAUGAAACCACUAUUAAAGUUCCAACGGUGAAAGGUGAGCAUGUGUCCCAUUAGCUAGAUGGUAAGGUAACGGCUUACCAUGGCUACGAUGGGUAGGGGUCCUGAGAGGGAGAUCCCCCACACUGGUACUGAGACACGGACCAGACUCCUACGGGAGGCAGCAGUGAGGAAUAUUGGUCAAUGGACGCAGGCCUGAACCAGCCAUGCCGCGUGCAGGAUGACGGUCCUAUGGAUUGUAAACUGCUUUUGUACGAGAAGAAACAACAUUACGUGUAAUGUCUUGACGGUAUCGUAAGAAUAAGGAUCGGCUAACUCCGUGCCAGCAGCCGCGGUAACAC